GAACUAUGUUCUCCUGGCUCAUGGAAUUCCUGAAACCGUAAUUACCGACAAUGGGGUUCAAUUUACGGGAUCGGAGUUUCGUAGCCUGUUGGAGAAAUAUAACGUCCCUCGUGUACAUUACGGUCCUAGAUACACGCCACAGAUAAACUUGGUCGAAAGGUAUAACAAAACAGUAAUGACUGCCGUAUCUUCGUACGUGAAAGAAGAUCAUAGAACCUGGGAUCUCAAUUUGUUUAAGAUUCAGUUCGCACUUAACAGUGCUGUGAACGAAUCUACCGGAUUUACACCGUUCUUUUUGGUUCAUGGCAGAGAACCUAUAAUAAAUGGCUCCUUUUAUAAGCAAACGGACGACUGCGAGUAUGAAGUUGCUAUGCCAAGAGAAGACUAUGCAGGGGAGUUUGGCGUCUUGAAGGAAGUGUUCGAGAAGGUACGUUCGCAUUUGCUGAAGGCCCACGCUACGAACACCAAGUACUACAACCUCAGAAGACGUAACGUCAAACUUUCAGAGGGUCAGGAGGUGUGGCGCAAAACGUACAUUCAGAGUGACGCUGAGAAGUUCAAGGCUACCAAGCUUGCCCCAAAGUACGAGAAGUGCAUUGUCAAGAAGGUACUAUCUCCGCUUGUUUAUGAAUUAAUUGCUCACAAUGGCAAGCCUCUCGGUACUUGGCAUAUCAAGGACAUCAAGGUUUAAUCCUUGUCUUUUGUUUUCACCCUCAGUUCGCCGAAUAGUUUUUUUGCCAGGGUUCUCAGCCGUAGGACUUGUUUCACAAGUGUUGUUUGGUAUUCUACCAACAAUGACGCCAAGGCUACUUUUCCCUUUUAGGGAAACCUUUAGGUUAGUUUUUUUUUGUGAUCGCCCCAUUUAGGGUAUGCGAUUUAAUUUUCUUUUUUCGAGUGGACAAGUAUCUGCUGUAUACUUGCCUCGUGUUUUUUUUUCUCUGUGACUUUAUAGUCCAGAUUUUUGUUUCCAGGGAUGACAUCAUGUGUUUUGAGCACUAUUCCCUGUGGUUGUGUUUUGUUGCGAUGACGUCCAAUUAUAUUGUUAUCAGCGACGUUUUGUUCUGCGGUUUUAUAACCCAGGCAUUUUUAUUUUAUUUUAGCAAAUAAUGUUAGUUAUGGCCGAAAUAGCCUAACAACGUUUUGGAAAAAGAACGAGUAGAAUUGCAUGUCAAGUUCUACUUUACUGGGGAAAUCGAGUACCACUGGUUCACAGUUGGGACUUUAUGGGGAAUUUUGGAUGCUCGGACAGGAGAGAUUUUUUUGGCUGGUAGAACAUCAGUCCUGGUAGAUGGAUUAUUUUGGUUUGGUAUUGCUUUUGUGAAAGUUUAGUUAUAGUUAGUAAGUUAGUUUUUUUUUCUCAAUUGGACUUUUUGGGGGUCUUUCUGGUGUAAAGAUUCAUUUUUUUUUUCUCUUUUUCAGUUUGUAGUUCGCUGAGGGCAGCUCAGAUUCUUUCUCCGUGCGAAUGUCUAGGGGGGAGGGUAUUGUAACGUUGCCGUUUGCUGUUUUUUCACAAAUUAAUAUUUCUUCUCAAUAUUCUGAUUUUGGAUACCACUGGCGACAUCUAUUGGCGUGAUUUAGAAUUAAUUUGCAAUAGAUGGCGCUUUUUGCUCAGUUAAUUGAAAUAUACUUUGAUGAAACAUUUCCUAGUGUUUUUAUAUUGAUUAUUCUAUUUUUCAAAUAGAAUAUUUUCAGUGUUCUGGAAAUUGUUUUCAUCAUGGUUUUAUUAGUACAGUAUUUACUUUUUCAAACGGCGAAACGAAACGUAUCGCGAUGUCUAUGACAGAGCGGCUGUCAGUGGAGCUGUCAAAUCACUUAGGAAUUUGUCGAUCGUGCGCAACCGCAAUUUGAUUAUUUUCGGGAAUGUAAUUCCUUUUAUUUCAAAUCGGGUGGUGCAAAAUGCAUCCACGAUAAUUUCUUGAUGAAUAAAUAAAAAUAACACACAUGAGAGAUUCCCUAAAUCGUAUUCGGAUGAGGGUAUUGGGAUGCUGAAAACUGCGAGUAAGGUUUAAAUUAGCGAGCGGUUUUCGUGAGUAUUUGUUUCCCAUUGCGGUUUUUUUCAUAACCUAAUGCCACGUUCCACUUGUGAUUCUGACACUAGUAUUUUUCGUUUCAGAUGCGGGAUUUCAUAAUUUUACAAUAUUUUGUAGUUUAAACAAUUUCAUAAAUUUCAUAGAUUUCAUAUUUUACAUGUUGAUAUUUCAUAUAUUUUAAUUUCUCUUCAUUUCGUAUCAAAUAUUUGUCCUUUCUAAACUGCUGAUCUCUUCGCAUUUCCUCCUUGUCAUCAAACCUCUGUCUCUGCAAGAGUUUGGACGCUUACCUGUCGAAGAGAUGCAAGAGCUUCAUCUGGCACUGCGCGCUUGAGGCCGUGGAGGACGCUGCUUGGAGCCUAAAAGUGUGCGAGACCCGUUGGACCCCGGAAGAAGAGAGGAACGUUCAGGGUAACGGCUUAUAACCGCAUGGCUUCCAAGGUACCCACUUUUCCAUCCUUCAAGUAGGAGUCUUUCCGACCUGACAUCGUGCAGUUAUCUUAACUAUUAGAGUCUUUUAAUAUUUAGGCUGAGUUUUAAGAAAUUUGUAGUGGCAAUAAUAUUCACCAAACCGAACCUAAUUAACGACCCUGAAUCCCUUGAGAUUGGCACUAUUACAGUAGUUAUUAUAAUAUCGUAAUUGUUAACUAUAUAGGAGCAUACGAGAUAAAAAUAAAUUGUGUCAAUUGA